UGGAGACAAAAUCCUUUCAGUGUUGUGCUAUAAAUAUGUUCAUUUGUUUCCUUAGUCACUGAGAUGCCAUCAGAAAAAUCACUCAAGGCAUGUGUGCAUAUGUGACUAUGUUUGGGGGCAUGGACAAAGGUGAAGGAGAAGAGAAGGAAGAGGAGGAGGAGGAGCCCAGCUCCAACCUGGUGGUCCCUGUUUCAGAGGAAGGCAAGUCCUCCAGCAAACCGCCGUGCUCUUUGAGAAGAGUGAUCCUCUUCUAUGCAUGUGCUCCCAGCCCUCACAUCUGGAACUUCCAGUUUGAUAUUAGAAUUAGGACAUUCUUGCCUUGGGUGAGUGAUAGAAAUAAGAGACUGGGCAGGAGCAAUAGGGCUCAGUCACUAUAUUUCACAAGCAGACACAAUUUAUUUCAGGGAAUGCACAUAUUUCAGUGGUACAGGAUUCUAUUUCACAAGCGGGAGUUAUGGACAUCACCCUGACAUGGCUGGCAACAUACGCAGGGUGUGCUUGGGAGAAGCUCUGGGGUAGAAGAGGUAGAAUUCUCGGACAUCCCAAAACUUUGCAGGGCAUGUGGUUAAGGCGCGCCAUUGAUGAAGUAAUCUGGAAGAUUGAUGUGUGAGUGGUCGGUGGUGGAUACAGUUUUGAUCAGUGAG
rnacentral:lncRNA from 1 species